GGUGGUUCAGUGGCAGAGCACUUGCCUUGCAUGCAUGAGGCCCUGGGUUCGAUUCCUCAGCACCA
rnacentral:tRNA from 1 species